UACAGAGGUCUCAAGCGUUGUUCGGAUUCAUUGGGCGUAAAGGGUGCGUAGGCGGCGCGGUAAGUCGGGUGUUAAAUCUUGGAGCUUAACUCCGAAACUGCAUUCGAUACUGCCGUGCUUGAGGACUGGAGAGGAGACUGGAAUUUACGGUGUAGCGGUGAAAUGCGUAGAUAUCGUAAGGAAGACCAGUGGCGAAGGCGGGUCUCUGGACAGUUCCUGACGCUGAGGCACGAAGGUCAGGGGAGCAAACGGG
rnacentral:rRNA from 1 species